CACGCAGGUGGCUGAGUCAGUCGAUUGUGAAAGCCCUGGGCUUAACCUGGGAAUUGCAGUCGAUACUACUCAGCUAGAGUAUGGGAGAGGGUAGUGGAAUUCCCGGUGUGGCGGUGAAAUGCGUAGAUAUCGGGAGGAACAUCAGUGGCGAAGGCGGCUACCUGGCCCAAUACUGACACUCAGGUGCGACAGCGUGGGAGCAAACA
rnacentral:rRNA from 1 species